UACAGAGGGUGCGAGCGUUGUUCGGAAUUAUUGGGCGUAAAGGGCGCGUAGGCGGCCUAUUAAGUCAGGGGUGAAAGACGGUAGCUUAACUAUCGCAGUGCCCUUGAUACUGAUGGGCUUGAAUGUACUUGAGGUAGGCGGAAUGUGACAAGUAGCGGUGAAAUGCAUAGAUAUGUCACAGAACACCAAUUGCGAAGGCAGCUUACUAAAGUAUGAUUGACGCUGAGGCACGAAAGCGUGGGGAUCAAACAGG
rnacentral:rRNA from 1 species